GUCUAUGGCCAUUCCACCCUGAACGCGCCCGAUCUAGUCUGAUCUCAGAAGCUAAGCAGGGCCGGGCCUGGUUAGUACUUGGAUGGAAGAUACCAACUAGAACAGACUAGUAAUCACCACCA
ensembl:rRNA 5S_rRNA 5S ribosomal RNA